UAUUUAAUAAUAACUCAACCACAAGGACUAAUAAUGAAGGACUAAUAAUGAAAAUUACUGAAACCAAUAAAUGAAGAUUGAAAAUUGAAGUGUAUCCAUAUUCCUGGAUUAGAAAACUUAAUAUUGUUAGAAUGUCCACACUAACCAAUGUUUAUUAACAGUCUCUACAACUCUUAUCAAAAUCCCCUUGAAAUUUCCCUUAAGAAUAGAAAAGCAACCUUAAAACAUUUAUGGACCCUUGAAAUGUUGACCAUUACUGAAUGCUCAACAUGAUCUCGAAAAAAGAACAAAUCUGGAGGAAGUCCAUCUUCUGAUGUCAAAACUUAUGACCAAUGUAAAUUAACCAAUAUAGGCAUAAAAUUAUCAAUAUAACAUAGACCAAAUAGAUUCAGAGUAUUCAGAAAUAACCUGUGCAGGAACUAGAGAGACUGCUCAGUUUGUAAUCAUUUGCCUUGGAAGCAUAAAGAACUGAGUUCAGUUACCCCAAACUCUCUGAACAAAGAUGAGAAGUAAUGGCCAUGUUUGCAAUCCUAGUACUGAGAGGGUAGAGACAGGAAUAUCUCCCAGGUUCACUAGCUAGUCAGCUAGCUACUUGGUAAUCUCAAGGCCAGUGAGAGACACUGUCUAAAAAAAUAGAAAGAGGUGGAUUGUACCUGUGUAAGUACACAUAAGGUUAUCCUCUGGCCUUAAUAUGUUUACACACACACACACACACACACACACACACACACACACACAUACACACACACACACACACACACACACAAAAGACCUUUUAUAAAUGAUUUUGACAAAUGCACUAAGACUGUCCUUUAAAAAAAGAUAGAGAAAAACUGGUUGUCCAUAUGAAAUUUGAUAUUUUUCUGUACAAAAACUGAACUGAAAAUGGAUCGAAUUUCUAAAUAUAGAAUCAAUGCAACUCUGAGAAGAAAACUAAAGCUUCAUGUGGUUGAAUUUGGUUUCUAGGUACAAAAUAUACAGUCAAUGGUAUAGAAGUUUGAGAAACUGGACUACAUUAAAAAUUUUGUGCAUCAAAGGUAUUAUCCACCGAAUAAGAAGUACCACCCACAGCAUGUGAGAAAAUAUUUAUAUGUUUUACAUCAUAUAUUUGGAAAGGGUAUUCUGAAAAGAGUAUUCCCAAAAUGCCACAGCAACAACAGAAGUCCUUAUUCAAAACUUGUGAAAUUGGGGUUGGCAAGAUAGCUCAACAGGUAGAGACACAUGCUUCCAAGCCAGUUGUUCAAUCUCCAAGCCUAACAUGGUCAAAGGAGAGAACCAACUCUCAUAAGUCGUUCUAUGACCUUCAUGUAUACCCCAUAACUGCGGCACGCACUCUAGCACAGUGGCAAACUAAGUAAACAUAAAAGUGGGCAAAGAACUGAACUGGACACUUCACCUCUAAGAAGAGAUGCAGAUGGCCCAAAUGCACAUGGAGUGAUGUCCAAUGUUAUGAAACAUCAGGACAACACAAAUCUAAAUCACUGUGCUAUCUCUCCUCAGUAAGCAUUAGAAUAGUCAGUGCAGAAGACCUAUAUCAACAAGAAAUGAGUACAUAAUAUGUAGCAAUUAACAAAGCAGGCAAAAGUGUUGAACUUUGUAUCAUGAAAGACACCAUCAAAUAAUCUGUGCAUGUCUGCUUAAGUCAUUAUCACCACUAGCAUUCAUCUUCAGGCUGACCGGACUAGAACAUCUUCUGCAAAAGCACUGUGGUAGAAGCACAAAGCACAUAAGCACUUCUGACAAUCUUCCAACAGCAGCUAUUAAAACAGGCAUAUAUCCCUACUUAAGGCCCAGCUUUAUCCAACACAAGUGUGCCGUCCAUAUUUGUGUGUCAGAUCAAAAACAUUGCAUGAAAGGUAUGCUGAGAUAAAUCCAAGGAUAAAUUGCACACAGUAAAAAUUGAAUAUAUUUAUGCAGCACAUUUUAUAGAAGCGUUGUUCGCAAGAGUGAAAAUCUAAAGACACUGAAACCUUCAGAAGCAAGGAGAUGGAUAAACUCUGACAUAGACACACAGUAGAAAACCUCAGGGACUAAAGAUAAAUAGACUACUAUUUCCAGUAUAAGAACAUUAAGUGCUAAAGAAGCUUACAAGAACACAUGUGGUGUUAGCAUAAGCUCACCAAUAAACAGUUUGGAGAGUCAUAGUUACAUAAUAAAACUGUAAGGUUAAGGAGAAGGAUGGACCUAAAUUCAGAAGAGUAACUUUAAAAUACAGUCUGUCUUCCCAUGCUAGCGAUUAGAGCUAGGGUACAGCAUAACAAAGGGAGUGUUCUGUAACAGACUUCUAUCCUGAGCUCACAAGCAGUUCUGUACCAUGAGAAGAUCCAUACAUCAAUUGUUUUUCUGUUCACUAUUCCAACAUAACUGUCGCAGACAGUGACCAACACCUGGUAAAUCUCCAAAAUAUUUGAGCAAAUUAAGCGAAAGGAGAAGGGGGUUGACAUAGAUAGUUGCAGUAGGAUUGCUGUUGUUCAGUUACCAGUCAUGAUUGCACACAUGGUGUGUGUAAUGCCUUCCUUUACACUGUGUAUAUGAAAUAUUAUAGUCUAAUGGAUUACAGAAUAUAGGACAUUUAAAGGUUUAAAGCUCACCUUUGAACUUUCACAGUGAAAAACAUAGUGAAUCUCUGAGUUCAAAGACAGCCUGGACAACAAACUGAGAUCCAGGACAACCAGGACAAUUAUACAGAGAAAGCUUGUCUUGAAAACAAAACAAAACAAACAAACAAACAAACAAACAAACAAACAAAGAGAGAAGAUAUAGUCAGACCAGAUAACCAACAGCAACAUCCAGCAAUAUGACUGACUCUCAACAAGAAGUUACAUGAGAAUGUCUCCACUAUAUCACACCAGCACAAUGCUAUUUUAUAACAUCAUGAAACAACCAUAGUAUGAAUAAAAUUUUAGAAACAAAAAGAUAAUUAACACAUACAAAAAGGAAGAGAAUGCUGGUUAUAGUAGGAAUGUACUUUGUGCAUAAAAAAACAAAAGAAAACAAAAAAACAAAAACCAGAUCAGAUAGAUUAUAUGCAUGGCUAGCUCUUCAGAAGACGUUGUCUGUUUUAUGUUUGGUUUGGCUUUGUGGCGCCGGGAAUUUGCCCAGCACACUGAGUAUUCAAGUGUUCUCUACCACUGAGCUGCAUCCCAGCCAUUGCUGUGAGAUCCUAGCUUUCAUUUAGCACAGACGAUUUGAGGAUACCGACUAUAGUAAAAAUGAUUCAAAAUAGCCCACUCAAAAAGCAACCCCAACCCUACUUGGGAACAAAGACUAUCCAUCUAAUUAAUUCUACUUAUCUGGGAUUCUACUAAAAGGAAAUGAACAUAUUUUUCAUUAAACAUGUAUUACCAUUCUAAAAGUAUUACAGUGAAUGUCUGUGCCCCGCUUCCUGUCAGCCUUUCAGACAUGGAGGCUGUGUCUAGUGUGGAAACGCCUUCCCUGGUCUACAACAGAGACUAAGAGCCUGUUCUUGCUCUUGAGAAAUGGAUGUCUGUAUCGGAUAAUCCUAAAGAAGAAAGCCGUCCUGGGGUAGGAGACAGGAAACUAGCAAGAGCAAGCCAUCAUCAGGAUGCAAAACCUAGUUAUGAACUUGAAAAGGGAGGGUAUUUUACACAUGUAUACGAGUCGGAGAGUGGGCCGGUGGAAUUGUUGAAAUUAGUUUUACUUGACUGAAGAAGGGGAAAGGGACAUGGGGGCUCAGACAAUUAACGAGGCCCCUCCUGCAGGGCCAGUUAGCUGUACAAUGGACUUGGGGCUUUAUCUGAAGAGCUACAGGAAACCAUUGAAGAGAUUAAGCCAGAGAGUGAUAUGAUUAGACUUUUCACUUAACAAGCGGCGGGGCUAAAGGCAGAAAGGAUCAGGUAGCUCACGUAGAGACCCAGGCAAUUGUUUAGGUGGGCCAUGGUGCUGACUGGAAGUGCAGGCAGUUGGGGUGCGACGGCAGACAGAUUGCAGAGCUGGCAAUCAAGUAGAAUUAGUAACACUUGAAGGUUAAUUGGGUAGAAGGACUGAAGGAACACAAAUGCAGCAGGAUUUCCUGUGUAGGGGGUGGAGAGGGUGGUGUCAGACACCAAGACUUGGGUUGAUGGGACAAAGUGCAGAUGAAUAUUCUUUCCCCCCUCCCUUUUAUUAUUGGAAUUAUAAUGUAAUUACAUCAAUUACUCCUUUCCUCCAUCAAGAUCCUCCCAUAUAUUCCUUUGUGCUCUCUUCCAAAUUCAUGGCCUCAUUUUUCAUUAAUUGCUAUAUACAUAUACAUAUAUGUAUAUACACAUGCAUGUGUAUUCCUAAAUACAACCUGCUCAGUCUGUAUGAUGUUCCUUGUGUGCAUAUUUUCAGAGAUGAGCAUUUGGUAUUGGAUUAACCAAAUGUUUUCUCUUCCCAGGAGAAACCUAUGUCUCUCACUCUCAGUGUUUCUUAGUUGACUACAGUUUUUUGUGUAGGAUUGAGAACUCCUGGGCUUUCCCAGUCCAAAUCCACGUGGGAAUGUCUAUUGGUGAUGUCCUUGUUCAACUCAUGUUUAGGCAGUCAUGUUGGUGAGACUUCAUGGGUGUAAAUCCUGUCAUUUCUGGGAGACACAGUCUCACUUCCAAGCCACGGAUCCUCUGACUUUUACAAUCUGUCCAUCCCCUCUGCCAAUGUUCCCUGAGCCUUAGGAGUGGAAGCUGUUUUUCAGAUGUAUCCAGAUGUAUAUUCUUAUUAGUGUAACCCAUUUGCUUAGACAGUGGUUUGCAAUCUUAGACUAUUUUUUUUUUCAGCUAAGUCAAGGCUCUUGAGCUUGGAAAAUGCCAUAGGUCCCCUUCUUGUUUACAAAUUGUUAAAUGAGACAAAAUACCCACUUCAUGUGUGAGAUGUAUUUAAAGUUCCAAACCUACAUCCCAACAAUAAAAGAUCCUUUCAGGGCUGAAGAGACAGACACCUGAGUUGGGAAAGUGCUUGCCAAUCCCCAGAGCUCACAUCAACAACCUAGGUAAGGUGGUGUGCAUUUUUUAUCUCAUCCCUGGGGUAUUUCCGGCCAGAUAAAACAAUGUCUAUUGCAUUCAUGUGUGCAUGCAUGUGUGUAUGCGUGCAUAAGCUCACGCACACAUGGAUACACAUACAUGCUGCUACCUAGCUUUAUGUUAUAAAAACCUUUCAGAUUCCUUACCCAUAUGGCAUAAAGUUUACAAGCAGCACUGCUAACAUUACAAGCAUUUUGCUAUGGGGCCUCCUGAUUAGAAAGUAAGUUCACAGUUCCCCAGCAAUUUCAGUUGGCUCUCCAUAUCAAAUUCAAUAAACUGACAUGGGAACAGGAUGAAGAACUCGUGGAGGAGGGACCAGGAAGGAGGACAACAUUUGGAAUGUAAAUAAAUAAAAUAACAAAAAAAAUCCUAAAAAUCGAAUUGUUACUGCACUAUGUGCUGACUUCCGCCCAUGCUGUCUUCAUUCCACAAAUAAUAAGUUAAAAAAAUUCUAGUGUUUGAAUUGUAUAAAGUGUUGUUCUGAAAGUGUACAGAAAGGUUUGUGUAGGUUAUACAAACAUCAUCCCAUUUUACCUAAUGAACUCAAACACCCUAGGAUUUCGGUAUUCAUACAGGUGAAACUAAUUCCUGUAAAAUAUUGAGAGAUGUCUAUGGUUUCUUAUUCUUAAAGCAAAGUAAUUACUCGAGCAUGGCUUCAUAGGGCAGCAGCUGAAUAAUGCAAUCUUUUGCAUUUGAUAAAAUAGGAAAAUGCAUAAUGCAUAUACUCUUUUCUUUCACACUGUGAGUCAUAAGCGUGUGAAGGGAGUAACGUUAAUUUCCUGCAGACUGCCAAGAGACAAUGUUCUGAUUGUUGGACAAAACAAAACACAUAAGAAAAUACAACAACAACAAAACAAAAACAAGACAAAAAAUAAACCAGAAAGAAAGAAUGUAUGAAUCUACCCUUUAUAUGUUGUCUAAGACAACACUUCUUAUGGCCACUUUAUAGAAUAUCUCCCAGAAAUGUAAAAAUCAGAAUGGCCGUCUGAAUGAUCUGUGCCAAGCUGCAAGGCAUACUGACCCCUCACCUUCAUAUUAGGGUCUAGCAUUGUUAUUAAUACUUGGUCUUGGGGAGAGGAGUGAAAGCCCAUGUUGGUGGCACUUUACAGACUUGCAGGGGGAGGGGGCAGGCUACCGGAAGUGUUUUAUUACUUCCUGAGUGUUUUAUUACACAGCACAUGCUAAGGAGCGUUAAUAAUAUUUGCUGAGUCUCAUGAGUGUGUUCGUGUGGAUGGUAGUGUCACACAAAAGACAGCAGAAUGCAGUUUCCUAUUAGAAAUAUUAAAGUCAGAUCUUGGCUUUGCUACUUCAGAAUCAAAGUGACAUUGAAAACUUUUCUAAACACUGAAAACCUCAACUCCUUUAAGCAGUGUAAAUCUGUUAUCAUAAGCAGUCAGCAAGGAAAUGUAGUAUCAAUAAAGGAGAGCAGGUACCGUCUUAAGUUUGAUAUUAGGUCUGAGUGCCCGAUAUUACCAAACAUUGUAACUUCUUUCAUUUAUUGGUUCUUAACAUAUCUUAUAAGAAAUGGCAUAAUACCAUGUAUUUUACCAAUUCUAACUGUAUUUUUACUUAGUUUAUCUAUUUUUUUGUGAAGCACAUACACAAAUACUAUAUUUAUAUAAUUUCCACCCUUCCCUUUCUCCCCUCCAUUCCUCCUGUGCUCCUCCAAGAACUUCUCAUUAAUUAUUGUUGUUUUACACAUACAUGUGUGUGUGUGUGUGUUGGCUCUCAUUAGAAAAUAAAUGGGUAUCUAAGGAAUUAAAAUAAAAUAACGUCAGGACAUGAAAGAACAAACAAGAAAAAGAGCCAAAGAAAAAGUAGAAGAAAUGUACAGACACAGAGACUCACACUUGCACAUGCUCAGGAAAUCCCGUAUGAACCCCGAACUGGAAGCUGUAGUAUAUAUAUGCAAAGGACCCAACAGGUAGGAAGAACAAAACAAUACAAAAAUACCACUGACUUAAGAUAAGGAGGAAAAGCACUUACAAAGAUGCUGUUGAGUUACUUGGCCAUCUACCGCUGGACACAGAAACUACUCUUAACAGUGGCGUUUCCCUAGUGAGACUCUCUUGGAGAAAACUGAGUUUUCAUUUGCAAGAAGCUAUCCUUAGGGAUGUGGACCUGUGUCUCUCUAGGUCUCUAGGACCCUAUGUGGUACAAACCCAUGCAGGUCCUGUGCAUGCUGCCUCAGUCUCUGUGAGUUCAUAUGUGCACCAGCACUGUUGUAUCUAGAAGACCUUGAUUCUUGGUGUCCUCCAUUCCCUGAGUCUUCCUCAGAGUUCCUUGAACCCUAAUGGGAGGGAUUUGAUGGAGACAUCCUUUUGAGGGCUGCAUAUUCCAAGAUCUCUCACUCUCUACCUAUUGUCUAGCUGUGGGUUUCUGUAUUUGUUCCCAUCUGCUACCGGGGGAAGCUUCUCUGAUGAUGACUGAGCAGGACACAGAUAAUAUGACUAUAGCAGAAUGCCAUUAGGUCUCAUAUUAUUGCUAUGUUCCUUUAACAGAACAGAAAUAUUUGCUUUUCCCUUAGGUCCUUGGCCUUUCUAGUCUCAGACUCCAAGCAACACUGAGCAUGAGUUUCAUCUCAUGGCCUGGGCAAUAAAUAACUCUAAUCAGAUAUUGUUUAGUUACUCCCAUAAACUCUGUCCCACUACUGCACCAGUAUAUCUUCCAAGUAGGACACCAUUGAAGACUGAAGGAUUUGUACCUGGCAUAGUGUUUAUAUUUUCCCUUUAGUAGCACAUAGAGUGCCUUCUAGUACCAUGAAUAUUAGUCUGUAGUGGUGAAGGUUCUAGUUAGGCAUUAUUUAGACUUCUCUGCAUUUAAUGAGUUAUGAGGGUGUAUGCAAUAGGACCUUACUGUCAGUUUAUGGGGAGCCACCAAGAGUUUUGGCAAUAGCUUGUGUUGUUUGGAGUUUCCCAUAGGUGGCCUUUGGCUAACAAUUCAAUUAGAUGUAACCAAUUUCCAGUACUGGAAGCUUCAUUUGGUGACAAAAGUUGGGUCACCCUCAUUAUUUGAGAUUUUAUUUAGAUGGCCUUCAUAUAUGUAUAUUAUAAAGGAAGCUGCCACUGUUAGAUUUUCACACUAUACCUCAAAAGGCUUUUGGUUUUAGCUGUCCUCACCAUAUUCCCUCCCUGGAGUUCCUUUUCCCUACUCAUUUCUGGUUUGACCCUCCCAUCCCAGUCCCCCUGGAAUCUAUUCAGCUUGAUUUCCUUGGCCUAGGAAGAUUCAUUCUUCCCACUAGUUUUUGCUCUUUACCUAACCUCUAUGGUUAUAUGGGUUGUAGCUUGGUUAUCAAUGGCUUGACAGCUGGCACUUAUAAAUGAAUACAUGUGAUAUUUGUCCUUCUGGGCCUGAGUUACCUCAUUCAGUGUGAUUUUUCCUAGUUCUGGAACUACCUACAAAGUUCAUUGUUUCAAUAGCUGAAUAAUAUUCUCUUAUAUAAAUGUUCCACCAUUUCUUUAUCCAUUUAUCUGUUCACAGACAUUUGGGAUGUUUCCAAUUUCUAGCUAUUAUGAAUAGAACAGCACUGAGCAUAUGUUCAGCAAACAUCUCUGUAGUAGGUUGGAGUGUCCUUUGGGUAUAUGCACAGAAGUGAUACAGCUUGAUCUUGAAGUAGAUUAAUUUCAGUCUUCCUGAGGAAGAGUCAUGCUGAUUUCCACAGUGGCUGUACAAGUUUGUAUUUCCACCAGAAAUGGAUGAGUGUACCCCUUACUCCACAUUCUAACCAGAAUGAUCUGUCUUUUAUUUUAUUGAUCUUGGCCAUUAUAAUUGAUAUAAAAUGAAAUCUCAAAGUAGUUUUGAUUUGCAGCUCCCUGAUAAAUGAGAAUGUUGAACAAUUCUUUAAAUGCGUCGCAGCCAUUUGAGUUUCCCUUUUGAGAAUUCUCUGUUUAGAUCUGUGCCCCAUGUUUUAAUGGGACUGUUUUCUUGAUGUCCAGUUUCCUUUUGAGGUCUUUAUAUCUUUUAGAUAUGUAACCCUUUGCUGAAAAAUGUAGUCUGUAAAAACCUUUUUCCAUUCUAUAGGCUGCUGCUUUCUUUAAGUGAUGGUGUCCUUUGCCACGAAGAAGGUUUUCAGUUUUGUAAGGCCCUAUUUAUUAAUUGUUUGUAGUGUCUGUAUUAUCAGUGUUCCGGUCAGAAAGUCUUUUUCUGUGCCAAUGAAUUCAAGAACAUUGCUCACUUUCUACUCUAUCUGAGUCAGUGUAUCUGGACUUAUGUUGAGGUCUUUGACCUAUCUGGAGCAGAGUUUUGUGCAGGGUGAUGAGUAUAGAUCAAUUUGGAUCCUUCUACCUGCAGCCAUCCAAUUUAGCUUGCACCAUUUGUUGCAGAUCCAUCUUUUCUCCAGUGCACCUUUCUGGCUACUUUAAAAAAAAACAGGUGUCCAUAGGUUUGUAAACUUUUUCAUGGGUCUUCAGUUCAAUCAAUGUUUCUGGUUUUGUGCCAAUAUCAUGCUGGGGUUUUUUUUUUUUACUAUAGUUUUGUAGUACAAUUCAAAAUUGGGUAUAUUCUAUCAUAUUUGGGUAAAAUGGACUGUAAAUAUCUGUUAGGACUAUUUGUCUUAUAAGUUAGCUUCAGGAUGUCUCUGUUUAGUUUUUUGUUGGUAAGAGUAAGGUGUGGAAGUCAUCCACGAUUAGUGGGUAGGAGUCAAUAUGUGGCUUAAGCAACAGUAUUGUUUCUUUUGUGAACCUGGGUGCCCUUACAUUUGGUAAACAGAUGUUAAGAAUUUCAAUAUCAUCUUGGUAGAUUUUUUUCCAUUUGAUAGUAUGAAGUGACUUUCCUUAGUUUUGGUUUGAAAUCCAUUUUGUCAGAUAUUUAAAUGAUUACAUUUAAGUAUGCUACUGGGGGAUAGCAGCACACACCUCUAAUCCUAGCACUUAGGAGGCAGGAACAGGCGAAUCUCUGAGUUCAAGUCCACCCUGGUCUACAAAAUGAAUUCUGGAUAGUCAGGGCUACCCAGAGAAAUCAGGUCUCAAGAAAAAAAGGCCAUAUUGGCUGGAUUUUUGAUUCAUUUACUUGUAAUAUCUUUUUCCAUUCUUUUAUUCUGAGUUGCUGUCUAUUCUUGAUAUUAAGGUGUGUUUCUUGGAUUGAGCAGAUUGUAUUUAUACAUUUAUGUAUUUACAUAUGUAUGUUUGUUUAAUAUUAAUAAUUAAAAGGUAAAAGGCUAUGAAUUUGAGUGUGACUUAUGAGAGGGCUUGGAGGGAGAAAAAGGUAGGGAGGAAAUGAUAGAGUUUACUUUGAUUAAAAUUUUAAAACUUAUUUUCAAUUAAAAACAUGUACAUAAAGUACCUAAGACAUAGAUCAAGGAUGUAUAUUGUUGAUUUGAAAUAUAAAAAUACUAAUAGUCACUGAUUUGAUAGUGGUCUGACUUAAGGAUAACCUAAGUGCCCCAUUUAGAAAUAUAUAGUGUAAAGCCUGGGGAACUGAUAAAGCAAAUGGGUAUCUUCUAGCACAACUUUAUAAACAGUGAAUCAAUGAAUGAUGGAUCAAGGAAAUUAGACUACAGUACUAACAAUCACAGAAGACACCACUCUCACCAACAAUUUUACAAACAUAACAAGAAGCAUAAGGCUUCGAAGCAAUUAGACUAGCUCAAUGACACACAGCAGAUGGCCUUAUAUGCAGGGGAGUCAGGGAAGAACACUUAAGGGCUAGUAUCAGUAAGUUUUUUCCACUUGCUAAUAGUGAGCAACACAGCCAGCCAUUUGUCUUAGAUUCCCGUGUCUUCCUUUGGGUAUCUGCUGCAGAGUUAUCCUAAUGCUUACAUAGACCAUCUUGUAGCCAAAACUGCUGAUUUUAAGCUAAUUUCAAUUUACUUUUUUGUAAUAUGAUCGUGUUUUUAAUCAAAGAAUUCAGAGUAUGCUUUAUAAAUGUGUUCAAGAAAGAACACAAUAUUUUCUAGGUGUUUAAUACAAAGUUCGUUCUGUGAAUUACAGUGGUUUAGAAUAGUCCCGAGUACUCAAUGAUAAGACUUACACUAUCUUCAUAAUGACUAUUUACAUACACACACAAAGAACCAUUUCAAUCUAAAUGUCUUUCGUAUUUUAUAUCAUAAAUCCUAGCAUAAAACAUAACUAAAUUUAUUUUUAUAUUAAUAAAGUAUACUUUAAUUGUGACCUUCAAUUAAAUUGUCAAAUUAAUACGGUAAAUUUAUUUUCCCUCCCUCUUUUUAAAAUAGUUAUUUAAGAAUUUCAUACAAUGCAUUUGAUGAUAUUCACCACUCCCACACUUCUACCACAUCUAUGUCUCUUCUUUACAUAUCCAGCCUUGUAUCUAAACAAAACAAAACAUACACACACAUCAUCAUCACCACCACCACCACCAUCAUCAUCAUCAUCAAAUACAAUUUUUACUGCUCAUUUACUCUUGUAUAUGUGGCCUUCUCUCCCUUUGUCAGUCCACCAGGAGCUGGAUCUUUAAAAAUACUGACUCUUUCCCAACAAUUAUAAUUGUCAACAGCUUCUUAGCCAAGGAGACUUCAUUACCACCUCUCCUAACACCAUGCUGAGAUUUUUGUCUGGUUUAACCUUAUGCAGAUUUUGUACAUGAUGUUACAACUACCGUGAGUUCUCAUUGUGCAAAUAUACUGCUGUGUCAGGAAAACACUGUUUCUUUGUAGUUAUUCAGCACCUCUUGUUCUUAUAAUCAUUCAGCCUCCUCUUUCUCAAUGAUUUCUGAACCUUGGUGAAAGGAGGAGUAAAAUAGACAUCUCAUUUAGGGUUAAUAAUGCUUAAGUCUCUUAUUCUCUGCACCCUGACCAUUUGUGGGCAUUUGAGUUAAUUUGAGUUAAUGAGUACCACACACUGAAAAAAGAAGCUUCUCUGAUGAAGGUUAACAGAUACACUACUCUAUGUGGCUAACAAGUCAUUACAAGUCAAUGUAACACUAUGUCUACUUAGUAAAGUGAUAGUAGUAGGUUUUCCCUUAGAGCCUUUGACCUAUGUCACCACAUAUUCUUGGUCCCAAUUACUAUGCCAGCUAUAGGUUCCACUUUGUGUAAGUGGGCCUUAAAUGCAAUCAGAAAGUGGUUGGUUGCUCCAGUAACAUUUGUGCUACCAUUGCACCAGUAGGGCUGUCUUGAUCCACUGGUCAUUUUGAGCAUUUAGGAAUCACAGCUGGAUGAGAUUAUUACUUUUCUCUACUGGUUACAUGCAUGACACCUUAUAACACUGUAAAAGAUUGUCAGUAGGAAUAAAGCUUUCAGGUGAAUACCAGAUUGUUUCCUCUUGUUCUAUGACUCAGUAUGUGAAGUCUUACUCUCAAAUUCUGGAGGGCAACCAAGAGCACCGACAGUAUCUUGUAAACUUUGGAGGCCCAUGUGAGCUCACUUGCCCACAGCUACAAAAGUUUUUUUGUGCCUCUGACACUGGACUUUUAUUUGUUAUUCUGUCUACUAGGGCUGUUAGCUGAUCCAUUAUAGGGAAACUCCAUUAAAAUUCUUUUUAUAAAUGUGUAAGUAUAUAUUUUAAGGAGUUUUUUCAGGAGUAAGUUCCCAUAUAACUUCCUCAAAAUGUCUUCAGUGUUCCUUACCCCUCCCUAGAGUCUGUACUCUACUUGCCCUCUCAUUCCACUCUCCAUUUAACUACCCAUGUUCCAUUAGUAUCCUUUCUACCUCUUUGUUUUAUCUCUCCUCCCUUGAAACAAUCCAUAUCCUUUUCCUAAUUUCCUGAACUCUAAGGGUAUUACAAAUGAAGAACAUAUCUGAAGAGUUAAGGCUAACAUCCCAAGUGAGAAAUAAACAUGAUACUUGUCUUUCAGGGUUAUCUCAGAAUGAUUGAUUCUAACUCCAUUCAUUUACCUUCUAAUUUCAUACCUUCACUUUUCUUAACAUUCAAUAAUAUUCUAUUUUGUAAAUAUGUCAAAUUUUCAUUAUCUAUUCAGUUAGUGGACAUUUAAGCCUUUUUCAAUUUCUGGCUGUUAUGAAUUGAGUGUGAACAUGGUUGAGCAAGAGUUUCUAUAGUAAGAUGUAGAGUUCUUUGCCCAAGAGUGGUAUAGCUAGAUCUUGCGAUAGAUCCAUUACCAACUUCCUGAAGAGACUGCCACACUGAUUUCCGCAGUCGUUGUGCCAGGUUGCACUCCCACCAGCAAGAACAAAUGUUUCUUUUUCUCUGAAUACUUAACCAACUUAAGCAUAUACUGUCAUUUGUUUUAUUGAUGUUGGCUUUUCUGACUGGAAUAAAAUAAAUCACAAAGUAGUUUAAAUUUAAAUUCCCUAUGACCUUAAACUUUUCUUUAAAUUUGUUUUAUGUCUUUGUGCAUUUCAUCUUUUGAGAACUUUCUGCUUAGUUCCUUGCCUCAUUUUUAAUUGUUUCAUUUUCAUGAUGUUCAGUUGCUUUAUCUCUUUAUAUAUUCUAGAUAGUAACUUUCUAUCAGAGAGUCAUGCUUUUCUAAAGCUUUCAAGUAUAUCACUAGAUGAUUAAGAUAGAAUUUAAUGAAAAUGAAGGCACAACAUACCAAAACUUAUGGGAUACAAUGAAAGCAGUGCUAAGAGGAAAACUCAUAGCUCUGAGUGCCUCCAAAAGGAAACUGAAUACAGCAUACUCUAACAGCUUGAGAGCACACCUGAAAGCUCUAGGACAAAAGAAAGCAAACACACCCAAGAGGAGUAGAUGGCAGGAAAUAACCAAACUCAGAGCUGAAAUCAAUCAACUAGAAACAAAAAGAACUAUGGAAAGACUCAGCAGAACCAGAAGCUGAUUCUUUGAGAAAAUCAACAAGAUACAUAAACCCUUAGCCAGACUAAUUAGAGGGCAGAGAGACAGUAUCCAAAUUAACAAAAUCAGAAAUGAAAAGGGAGACAUAACAACAGAUUCUAAUGAAAUUAAAACAAAAAUCAGAUCCUACUGCAAAAGUCUAUAUUAAAUAAAACUGGAAAAUCUUCAUAAAAUAGACAAUUUUCUAGACAGAUACCAGGUACCAAAGUUAAAUCAGGAUCAGAUAAACCAUCUAAACAGUCCCAUAACCCCUAAAGAAAUAAAAGCAGUCAUUAAAAGUCUCCCAAUCAAAAACAGCACAGGUCCAGAUGGGUUUAGUGCAGAAUUCUAUCAGACCUUCAAAGAAGACCUAAUACCAAUACUCUUCAAACUAUUCCACAAAGUAGAAACAGAAGGAACACUACCCAAUUCCGUCUAUGAAGCCACAAUUAUGCUUAUACCUAAACCAUGAAAAGAUGUUACAAAGAAAGAGAACUUCAGACCAAUUUGCCUCAUGAAUAUUGAUGCAAAAGAUUCAAUAAAAUUCUUGCAAAUUAAAUCCAAGAACACAUCAAAAUGAUCAUUCACCAUGAUCAAGUAGGCUUCUUCCCAGGGAUGCAGGGAUGGUUCAAUAUACAGAAAUCCAUCAACGAAAUCCACUAUAUAAACAAACUCAAAAAAAAAAACCCACAACCAUAUGAUCACCUCAUUAGAUGCUGAGAAAACAUUUGACAAAGUUUAACACUUCUUCAUGUUAAAAGUCUUGGAAAGAUCAGGAAUUCAUGGCCUAUACCUAAACACAGUAAAAGCAAUAUACAGCAAACCAGUAGCCAACAUCAAACUAAAUGGAGAUAAACUUGAAGUAAUCCCACUAAAAUCAGGGACUAGACAAAGGCUGCCCACUAUCUUCCUACUUAUUCAAUAUAGUACUCAAAGUCCUAGCCAGAGCAAUUAGAUGACAAAAAGAUGUUAACGGGAUAUAAAUUGGAAAGGAAGAAGUCAAAAUAUCACUACUGGCAAAUGAUGUGAUAGUAUACUUUAAUGACACGAAAAAUUCCACCAGAGAACUCCUAAAACCUGAUAAACAACUUCAGCAAAGUGGCUGGAUAUAAAAUUAAAUCAAACAAAUCAGUAGCCUUUCUCUACUCAAAGGAUAAACAGGCCUCGAAAGAAAUUACAGAAACAACACCCUUCACAAUAAUCACAAAUAAUAUAAAAUACCUUGGUGUGACUCUAACCAAACAAGUGAAAGAUCUGUAUAAGAACUUCAAGUCUCUGAAGAAGUUAAAGAAAGAGGAUCUCAGAAAAUGGAAAGAUCUCCCAUGCUCAUGGAUAGAAAGGAUUAAUAUUGUAAAAAUGAUCAUCUUGCCAAAAGCAACCUACAGAUUCAACGCAAUCCCCAUCAAAAUUCCAACUCAAUUCUUCCUAGAGUCAGAAAGAACAAUUUGCAAAUUCAUUUGGAAUAACAAAAAACCCAGGAUAGCAAAAACUAUUCUCAACAAUAAAAGAACUUCUGGGGGAAUCACAAUCCCUGACCUAAAGCAGUAUUACAGAGUAAUUGUGAUUUAAAACUGAAUGGUAUUGGUACAGAGACAGGCAGAUAGAUCAGUGGCAUAGAAUUAAAGACCCAGAAAUGAACCCACACACCCAUGGUCUCUUGAUCUUUGACAAAGGAGCUAAAAACAUCCAGUGGAAAAAAGAUAGCAUUUUCAACAAAUGGUGCUGGUUCAACUGGUGGUCAGCAUGUAGAAGAAUGCAAAUCAAUCCAUUCUUAUCUCCUUGUACAAAGUUCAAGUCCAAGUAGAUCAAAGACCUCCACAUAAAACCAGAUACAUUGAAACUAACUGAAGAGAAAAUGGUGAAUAGCCUCGAACACAUAGGCACAGGGGAAAUUUUCCUGAACAGGGACACCAAUAGCUUUUGUUCUAAGAUCAAGAAUCGACAAAUGAGACCUCAUAAAAUUGCAAAGUUUUUGUAAGGCAAAGGACACUGUUGUUAGGACAAAACUGCAACCAACAGAUUGGGAAAAGAUCUUUACCAAUCCUAUAUCAAAUAGAGGGCUAAUAUCCAGUAUAUACAAAGAAUUCAAGAAGUUAGACUCCAGAAAACCAAGUAAUCCUAUUAAAAAAUACAGUACAGAACCAAACAAAGAUUCACAGCUGAGGAAUAUCGAAUGGCUGAGAAGUACCUUAAGAAAUGCUCAACAUCCUUAGUCAUCAGGGAAAUGCAAAUAAAAAUAACCCUGAGAUUCCACCUCAUAGCAGUCAGAAUGGCUAAGAUAAAAAACUCAGGUAACAGCAGAUGCUGGCAAGGAUGUGGAGAAAGAGGAAUACUUCUCCAUUGUUGGUGGGUUUGCAAGCUGGUACAACCUCUCUGGAAAUUAAGAUGAGAAUAUAUAUAUACACAUACAUAUAUAUAUGUGUGUAUAUAUAUAUAUACAUACACACAUACACAUAUACAUAUAUACACAUAUAUAACAUAUAUACAAAUAUAUAUACAUAUGUAUAAUUUAUUUAUUUAAGUGGAAGUAAUGUAGGCUCCUUAGAGCUAUAAAUGGUCAUCUUAGAAUUGUCCUCAUUGUGUCCUAUAGAUUUUAAUUUCUUUUUUGAUUUCUCCAAUGACCCAGUAGUGUGUUGUUUACUUCCCAUGAGUUUGUGUAUUUUCUGCCAUUUCUAUUGCUUUUGCUAUUCAUCUUUAUCCCUUCAAAGACUGAAUGCAGAUUGUUAUUUCAACCAUUUGUCUGUGUGACUUUGUCUCUUUUGAGUUGUGUACUUGUUACUUUUCUGUUGCUAUGAUAGAACACCAUGGUAAGAGCAACUUAUAUACAGAGAAGUUUAUUUGGACUUAAUGGUUUCAGACAAGCCAGAUUCAAUCCUGGAGGGGAGGCCUCAGCCAUGACAGCGGGAAUAGGAAGCUAGAGUUCAUAUCCUGAAUCACAAGCACCGUCCAGGAAGAGCAACCUGAGAAUAACUUGGGUCUUCAAAGGCUCAAAGCUUACCCCUAGCGACAUACUUCCUUCAGGACACCUUCUGAACAGUCUUAAACAUCCCCAAUACCUGGGGACCAAGAUUUAAAUACCUGAUACUAUGGGUGAUGUUUUCCAUUCAAACCAUUCACAUUUUUUGGCCAUAUUUAUAAUUACUCUUUUGAAUUAUUUUUUCUGUAAAAUUUCCCAUGUUAUUUUUAUUAUUGCUCAUGACUAUAGGAUGAUAUUUUUUGGAGAUGUCAUUUAUUUCUUUUAAUAAUGUUUUUAUUUAUGUGUUGGGAUUUGUACAUCUGGAGUUAGUUUAUUGAAAUUUUCUCUAUUUAUCUUCAAUUCGCCUUCGUUUUAAAAAUUUUAUUUAUUUUAUUUAUUUUUAUUGGAUAUUUUAUGUAUUUACAUUUAAUAUGUUAUCCCCUUUUCCCUCUCUCCCAUGCUCCUCCCCCUCCCCCUGCUUCCAUGAAGAUGCUCCCCCCCACCUACUCCCACCUCAACACCCUGGCAUCCCCCUACAAUCAGAUGGCCAGACACCUUUCUCUCUGUGCUGAGGGUAUCUUUUGGAAGGAGAUAAAACUGCCUUCUUAGAUAAGUCCUUGGACUCUGAACACUAAAACUGGUUUUCCUCCCACCUGGCAUCUCCCACAUCAUCCUGGGCACAGCAUACUUCUUACUUUGGGAUAACCAGUUUAAAAACCAAGAUAGGACCUACUAAUCCACCCGAAUGUCCUCAAUAUCCGUGCUGGGCAUCAUGUUAAUGAAGAGUUCCCAUUAAAAUACUUAGGUCAAAGUGCAGAGCUUGACUCAUGAAAGUGGAUGUUGGCUUUUGGGAUGCAGAGAGGUCCUGCAAGCCUGCAUACUUGCUUUCUGAUUUCUGAAUGGUGGGAUCAUCUGUGACCCUUGAGAGAGGGAGGCACUUUGAGGACAGUGGAGGUAUGCUAAGUGAUCAGGGAACUGCUUUAAAGAUACAAUUCCUGUUGGAUCUAUACUGAGGAUGCUCAAUGAAAUGGUGGGUGUGUGGAGCAAGAUGUGUAGACCCCAAGGCAAGAGGUGUGAACCGGAAAAGAUACUCAGAGCAUAAUUCUCUAAUGUGGUGGAAAUCAUCUCUCUCCCUCCAUCCCAGUUCUUUCGUCAGGUUAACAUGAUGCUGUUGAGACUAACGCUCAGGUACAACCUGAAUUGUCACAAUUUUUAAGCUAAUGAUAGAUGCACAGUUUCAGAUGUUGCUACCAAAAGGACAAGGCUAUGUUUCAGUCGAAAGCCUGGCUCAUGCUACUUGGUUGGAGUCUUGCUCAGGAAUCAGGGAUCGGAUUUUCUAAAUUUUCUAGGUGUAUUCCUUGUACUGUAGAACCAGAUGAUAGCAGGGCCUACCACAAAACAUUGUGAAGGACGGUUAAAAAAAAGUCCCAGGAGAGCAGCAGUAUUUGGUAUGUGCUACUUUCUCUAAGGUUAAGUGAUGAAUGUGUAGUAAGGCCUGUGUUUCUCCCUUUAUUUCACUCACCCACAAAUUAAGGUUAUUUCUGAAUCCAAGUUUUCCUCACUCUCGAGUUUCACUCCUAUUCUUAAAUCGAGCAUGGAAGGUUAGAAGGGGCAGUGGCACUGGGCCAUGUCCUCGUGAAGUGAGCCAGGUACUUCCCAGGGCUAUGUUGAAUGCAAGCUUCUUCUCAGUCACAGACAUUUCACAUUCAUGGUGUCUGCAGUUGAGUGUUCGGUGAUGGAGGUGUGGUAUGUGCCUUCUGUUGGAACUUGGUAGCACUACGCCAGUGCUCCGUUUCAUAUGUUCUUUGUUUAUCUAGAGGGGCGACAGGGACCAAGGAAAGUGAAUGAGGCUUUGGAUUGAACCAGUCUAAUUCCAGAUUUUUCUGUUGAUUUCUAACCAGAAUGACAGGGUUAUAUGGAAUAAUGAUGUAGACUUAAAUAUAAGGGAGAAGAGUAGACGUUCUUAUUAUAAUGGGCUACGGAAUUUCUGGAAACUUAAUGGUCUUUUUCAUAGAAGAUCCAGUGAAUAUGUUGACUUCUGACUUGAUUGCUUCCUAUUGUUCAACCAUUUCCACAAAAGCUAUUCUUUCAAAUUCUAUCUCACUUUUCUUCUGUUUUUGGUUUUUAUUUUGAAAGAGUUACUCCGUCUCCAUACCCCAGCUGCAAUGGAAAGUAAGUCUACUUGUACGUGUGUGUGUGUGUGUGUGUGUGUGUGUGUGUGUGUGUGUGUGUGCUUAAUCAGUCUCUAUUUCUUUCUUUCUUUCUUUCUUUCUUUCCUUCUUUCUUUCUUUCUUUCUUUCUUUCUUUCUUUCUUUCUUUUUUUUUUGGAGCUGGGGACCGAACCCAGGGCCUUUCGCUUGCUAGGCAAGCGCUCUACCACUGAGCUAAAUCCCCAACCCUAAUCAGUCUCUAUUUUAUUCAUUGAGGGAGAUCCUCUCCAUUGUACCCAGAGCUUGCUGUUUCAGCUAGUCCAGCUAGCCUGUGGACCCUGGGAUUUCUUGUCUGUGUCUCCCAAGCAGUAGGAUUACAGGCUGGCUGCCACACCUACCUAGUAUUUAAGUGGAUGCUGGAGAUCUGGACUCCUAGCCUCCUUUUUGAGCGCUUUACCCAUGGAGCCAUCUCCUAGCCACUACAUUAGCCUUACCAUGCCACUGGCAGAAAGGACACUACAAACUAUGCAGCGAGUUUCCAGGAGGGGAUUUUCAUGGGUCCAGCAUGAAUUAUGUGUUGUUCUCUGAAGAAUGGGAACAGCAUCCUGAUUGGUUGGCCAAACAUAAUCCCCUUAGGUGAAAUAGAAGUAUUAAAUUCAACCUUCACAUUUUAAGAGGAGGGGAAAGGUUGGUGGCUUCAAAGUAAAAUUGGAGCAUUGUUCCCCAAAGAAGACAAAGGAAAAAAGUCAAAGCUGACAGAUCCCAUUCCAAGCAAGGGUUCAGAAAGAAGGACAUUAGCACACACAUGCCUGUAAAAUUGUGAGCCAAGAAAUGUUAAUGCAGCAGCUGGGUAAACCUGAUGUUGAUGUGGAAGAUCUCUCUCUCUCUCUCUCUCUCUCUCUCUCUCUCUCUCUCUCUCUCUCUCUCCCUGUGUGUGUGUGUGUGUGUGUGUGUGUGUGUGUGUGUGUGUUUUCUUACAGCCAAGACCUCAGAAUUCAUUUACCUGCUCAGCCUCUAGUGAGUGUCCUGCCCUCUCUGCCUGGUGUGACACUAGAAGCUGAGCUCAAGGCAGCAGCAAGACCUUCAAGGUACCUACCUGGGCCUGAAGUCACUCAAAAAGCUGAACUGUGGUGACAUAGCCAUGUUCUAGUUCCCUCCAAUUGGGAUUUUCAUUUUAUCGUUCUCCUCCAAGAAGCCUGGGACCUGUUGGUAUCCCUCUGCAUUCUGAGAGCAGGCUCUCCAUUGGAAGGCAUGUUAUGAAAUGAGAUGUAUCAUUGGAGAUGCAGGUAAGAAAUCUGAAGCAAAUGACCUCAUCUAACCCUCAUCAGCCUGCGUCCUGGGCUCUUGCCACCCACCCCCCCAACAGGUGUAAGGACAAAAGGCCCAUUGUCCUUAGAAGCCCAUAGGAUAAAUGGAGAAGGAACGUGUCUUUGCUGGUUAAUCUGCCUUGAUAAAGAGUAUUGUUUUAUCUCUUGCCAUCGCUAGGGUUUCAAGGGGUGAAUUCUACUGAGGACAAAGUCUGCUUUGUCUUUUCCAACCCACUGAGACAAGUAAGUUGACCUUUCAUAUACUCUGUGAUUGUCACAAUCCAAGUGCCAAAGUGUUGGGGGUCCUUAAGAAUAUUCUCCUUUCUUCCCACAAGGGGCACACCAUCUAUAGAGAUGCUGUGGGGCUGAGGAGUGGUGCGCUUCUCUUUGGUCUUUGCUUUUAGUUUUUAAAAGUAGGAAAGUGCUGUCUUGAGCAAAUUCAUAUUUACAUGAAAGAUAAAAAGCAAGUACAAAGAGCUGUGUUCUUUUCCCCAACAGCUUCUUCCAGUUUUCCCUGGUGAUGCCAUCUGCAUUGAUGGUAUGUUUGUAAAGCCAGUGAUGAGCCAGGUGCUGAUGCUUUGUUUUAUUACAAUAAUUAUGUUAGGUCAUAUCACAAGCGCACAGCUUACAUUGGUCCAUUCUGCAUUGUUCAUGUUGUGGGCUUGGUCAGCAUUGUGACACGUACCUACCACUGUCUAGUGUACAAUAAAGGACUUUCACUACCCUAAAGUUCGUGUGUGUUCUAACAGCUCACACCUCACUCCUAUUCCCCACUCUCCUGGGCAAGCUCUCACACUUUCACCCUCUCUAGAAUGCCGUAGGGUUGACAGCAUCCCUACAGUCAUUCAGACAAGCAUCUUUCACGGAGCUUUGGGGACAUUGGGCAUCCGGGUCAAAGGUGCAUCAUCAACGCGGUCUUCGUUGCUACUGAAAAUGGAUUUAGUUUCCAUCAGUCCUAUUUACAGCAGCUUUCCUGGGACUCAAAUAAAACAAGGCUCUCCCGCCCACUGGCUUGC